UCAGGUAUCUGCCUAAACUGGAACCUUUGCUGUAGACAUUUCUUUGUGGAUUUAUCUGAAAAACUAAGGAAAAGAAUAUUUGAGGUCCAUUUCUAAGGAAAGAAAGGAAGAAAUGACAGAAUGCCUAGAGUUGAAACCAGUUAAACUGGUAAACAUUGCUAUCUUCAGAAAAUAAGUUAAGGAAUGAGAGGCAAGGAAGAAAGGACAUUCAUCUUGGAAGGACCUAAAGCACUUUGAAAUUUAAAAGAAUGUAAUGACAGCUGCUAAAACCACCUUUGUCACCGAAAUGGAUGAAGUACUUCAAAUUUAAAUGGAAUGGAAAAUCACCAGGACUCCAGGAUCCUCAUGCACACCCUCCCAAAAUCACCUGGCACAUGUCCAAGUUACCAAAUAACAGUACCAGCCAUAAUGAGAGGUUACUACAUCAUAUCCAUGAGGAUGGCUAUAACCAAAAACAUGGAAAAUGGCAAGUGUUGUCAGGGUUAUGGAGAAAUUGGACCCAUUGUACAUUACUGGUGGGAAUGUGAAAUGUUUUAGCCUCUGAGAAAAAGAAAAUCCCUCAAAAGCUAAACAUUGAAUUAGCACAUGACACAGCAGUUCCACUCAUAGGUAUAUACCCAAAAUAAUUGAAUACAGAGUCUCAAAAAGUAUUUGUAUGCAAAUGUUCAUAGCAGCACUAUUCACAAAGACAAAAAGAGGGAAGCAACCCAAAUGUCCAUCAAGAGAUUAAAUAUGAACAAAACUUUGGGCCCAUAAAUUCAAAAACUUAAAUGGAAAAAUGUGUUGAGAGACACAAACUACCAAAGUCCCCAAGAGAAGAUAAUCUGAAUAGUCCUAAAUGUAUUAAAGAAAUUGUGGAGUUUAAAACUUUCCACUGUAAAAAUCUCCAGGCCCAGAUGCCUUUAUUGGCAAAUCUUACCAAGCAUUUAAGGAAGAAAUAAUAUCAAUUCUACACAAGCUCAGCCAGGAAACAAAAGAAGAAAGGAUACUUCCCAGUUCAUAGUCAGUAUCAUCAUGAUAUCAAAACAAGCUGAGAUACCCGAAGACUGAAAACUAUAGACAUAGACACAAAAACCCUAAACGUAAUAGUAGAAAACCUCCCAGUAAUUUGCAGAAGUGUUAAUACAUUAUGACUAAGUAUUCUCUAACCUAGGGUUGUUUUAAUCUUCAGAAGUGAAUCAGUACAAUUUAUAUGUCAAACUAAAAGGAAAAAUACCAUGAUUACUUUGAUUGAUACUAUAUGAAUUCAUGAUAAAGAACUCUCAACAAAGUAGAAAUAGAAGAAUAUCCUCAAGCUGGCAGAGGGCACAUAUAAAUAUCCUGCAGCUGGUAUCAUAUUUAAUGACAAAAACCUGAAUUCUUUUUUUGUAAUAUGGGAGCACCACAAAGAUGUCAGCAUUGUACCAGAAGUCAUAGCCAGUUCUGAAAAGGAAGAAAAAAAUAAAUGGAAUGCAGAUUGAAUAGGAAGAAAUAAAGCUCUCCAUAUUUGCAAAUGAAAUAGUAGAAAGUUCCAAAGAAUAUACCAAAAAAAAUCAGUUAGUUCUACUACAACUAAGUAAAUGUAGCGGUCACAGGAAAGUCACUAUAUUAAAAAACUGUACUUCUGUUAGAAAUUGAAAUUUUAAAAACCACUUACAAUAGCACUAUAAAACAUUAAAUAGUAUAAGUGAAACAUGUACAACAUCUGUAUGCAGAAAACCUACAUAGCACUGAAGAAAGAUCUCAUUAAAUGGAGAAAAAUACUCUGCUUAACUAUGGUAAGAGUCAAAAUUGUAAGGAUGUCAGUUCCCCUAAAUUCAUGAAGCCCAAAGUUACUAGAAAAGUGAAAAUGAGGCUGAAUAGGAACAAAGUUGGAUUACUCAGACUACCAGAUAUCAAGACUUAGUAUGAAACUAUAGUAAUCAAUAGCAUACUAUAUAUUACUGUUAAAAGAAUGCACACAUAGAUCUGUGGUUUAAAAAAAUAGUUCAGUAAUAGAAAUACAUAUGUAUGUAUAUGACUUUUGACAAAGGUGUAGACGCAUCCGAUGAAGAAAGAUUAGACUUUUCAACAAAUGGUACUGGAAAGUUAGGAACAAAACCAAAAGGAAACAAAAAGUCCUUGUCUCAUAACUUGAUGUAUACCUGGGAGAUAAAUGAAAGAGAGAAGAUGGUAAGAGACUGACCUUGUAGAAAUAGAGAAAGUUAAUAAGACUGGCAUGAGAAUCAAAACAUCAAGAUGGUAGAAUUAUUGGUAGGCAGUUUAAUCUUUUGAACGAGGAACAUUGUGUAUGUUAGGAAAUGUGUAUACAUUAUAGCAAAAUAAGGAUUCAUUUAAUCUACUAGUUUAUUAAGCACCCUGCUAUUCACAGAGCACUAUGUUAUAUUGGAGGAGUUUUAUAAAGGUCCCUAGAAGGAAUCAUAUAUAAACAAUGACAAAACAGUGGUAUGUGCUUUUGUAGUGGUGCCAGGGAAGCUCAGAGGAAGGGACUGGCUGAUAUCUACACUCAUCCUGAAGGGGCCUCCCUUGCUAGCCCUCCGACCUCUGAGUACACUGAAGAAUGUUAAUUGAUCCACUGUCCCUUUGAGCACUUGGAGAUAUUGUUAAUUUGAUAGCUAAAUCCAAUAAGAGAUCUCUUCCAUUUGGUGCCAUUUGAAUCUGUGAUAAUUACCUCGAGCUCAGAGAAUAGACAGUGAAGGAAUCUGAUCUGGUUUUUUCUUUAUCUUUGAUUUUAACUGUCAUUUGAUCUGCUUUUAAGUGGGUAGUCUUUCUCUUGCUUCUGGUUAGUUGCUGGCCAUUCUAUACAAUCUCUAUCACACAAAGAAAGCAGCAAAGGAAUUUUUUUCAACGACUGCCAAAACUCUGUUGGAAUGAAAAAUCGCUCCCCCCCCCCAUAACAGUCUCCAUGAUACUCCAUGCACAUAGAAAAGAGAAGUUGGAGUUACAUGUGAUCACUUUGGCCAACCUUUUGCAGGUUUCUAGUGCACAUUCUCAUCUCUCUUUGAAGGAUUAUUCAUUGCAACUUGUACUCACAUUUUCCUUAAAGCAAAUCCUACUUUUAUUCUCCUCCAGUUUUCUGUCACAUAGCAAGAGCGUUGGUGGAAAUUGCUUUUCCAUAAAAAGAACUAUGCCACCUACUCUUCAAAUGCCACUGAUUAAGAAAAUCAUUGAUUGAUUUUUCUAAGGGAAUAAAUUAGGCUUUCCCCUGAGAGUGGGAAAAAUAAAUAAUGGGAUAUAAAGAAUGAAAAUAGCUGUGUGUCAUGAGGAAAAUGUUUAUGCAGUUGCCAUGGAAAUAGCAUGUAGGCAUUUAAACAAGGAGCUUGUGAUAUCUCUGUAUUUGCCAAAUAUAUAUCAGAUAUGAGUUGCCUUCAUCUCUUUCUUGGCUCAUAUUCAGUCUGACAUGUGUAGUUAUGUGAAAUAUGCUCCUGCUUUAGCAUAUUUGCUUAAUAUUUGCAGAAAAUAUACAAUACAAUGGGAUGCCAUGUUUUAAGAUCAUGUAAUUGAGGCAUAGAAAUAAAACUGGGGAAAGCAAUUCUCAGUAAAUGAUUCCUAAAAAUAAAUAGCGGUACAGUCACAGUGCCCAAGGCUGGGCUUUCCUGUGACAUUCAUAAUUAACAGAGCUAAUUAAUUUUCUUAACAAAACAUUCACAAUAUUAGACCUAAUUAGUACUGUUAUGAGUGAUGUCAGAUGCUGAAAAUGCAUGGUUUGAGACCUUAUUCUUAUUUUAAUGUAUGUGGUUUCAUUUCACAAGUGGAAUAAAAUGCAACAGGCUGUGUUUCUGAAUUAUCACACUUUUCUGACAAAAACAUCAGUGAGCCUUCAGUUUCAUACCUUAUAAGUGAGGCAUGAUAAAUCUAGAAAGGGCAUAUAUGAAUUUUGAAGAUGUGGAGUAUUUGACACAAUUUUUCAGAGCUUGAACUUUUUUUUUCUAAUUCCAAAGAUAAUGCAGACAAUGCAGCCACUUCUUUUUAUGGGACGCACAGACCAGGACAAUAGGAAAUCUAAAAAUGAUUAGUCCUUGCUCCAUUCAUGGAAAAUAGGAUGUUACCCAAUUAAUUGAAAUAACUCAUCUUUUUAUGCCACUUUUGCUAUCUGCAUCAUCCCCUCACUUAGAUUUCAUCUAAGACAUAUCAUGUGCUUUGUAAACAAAUAGCCUAGGGGCUUAAUGUCUUAUUAAAGCUAUAAUUGUUCAUAUGGUCCAAUAAAUAUCACAGUAAUUUAGUGAGACCAAAUAGUUACACAAAUGGAACAGUGGGAAAGGGCUAAUCAGAGAAAGUUUUUCAGAGGAGGUAAGUUUUGAGUCAAAAUUUAAAGACCUUUCUGAGGGUAUUUUAAUCAUACCCCAAAAUUUUGACAUAUGUGCACCUGUAAAAUUUAAGGAGAUAAAAGUAUUUGCAAAGGUUAAAUUAGAGUAUUAGAUUAUUGAUUUGAAACUUUCCUUUUAUAAUAUAAAUAUUAAUGUUAUAAGUUCCCCUAUAAAUGCUACUUUCACUAUAUCUCAGUUUUGGAAAUUUUUUAAAAUUUUAAAAAAUUUUGUAAUUUAUUUUUGUUCAGUUCAAAAAUUUUCUAAUUUCCUUUGAAUAUUCCUCUUUUAAUCAGAUUAUUUGUUUAAAAAAUCUCCAAGUGUUCAGAGAUUUUAUUUUUCUGUUAUUAAUUUCUAUUUUUAUGGAUAGAGAACAUUUUUGAUGAUUUCUAUUCUUUUAAAUUUAUUUUUAAAAAAACUUUCUAAUAUCAUUUUUAAUUUUUUUAAAUGAUUUUUAUUUUUUCCACUAUAGCUGGUUUACAGUGUUCUGUCAGUUUUCUGCAGUACAGCAAAGAGACCCAGUCACACAUACGUAUAUACAUUCUUUUUCUCACAUUAUCCUCCAUCAUGCUCCAUCAUAAGUGACUAGAUAUAGUUUCCAGAGCUAUACAGCAGGAUCUCAUUGCAUAUCCACUCCAAAGACAACAGUUCGCAUCUAUUAACCCCACACUCCCAGUCCAUCCCACUCCAUCCCCCUCCCCCUUGGCAACCACAAGUCUGUUCUCCAAGUCCAUAAGUUUCAUUUCUGUGGAAAGGUUCAUUUAUGCCAUAUAUUAGAUUCCAGAUAUAAGUGAUACCAUAUGGUAUUUGUCUUUCUGACUUACCUCACUUAGUAUGAGAGUCUCUAGUUGCAUUUAUGUUGCUGCAACUGGCAUUAUUUUGUUGGUUUUUAUGGCUGAGUAGUAUUCCAUUAUGUAUAUAUACCACAUCUUCUUAAUCCAUUCAUCUAUAGAUGGGCAUUUAGGUUGUUUCCAUGUCUUGGUCAUUGUGAAUAGUGCUGCAAUGAACAUACGGUACGGGUGCAUGUAUCUUUUUCAAGAAAAGUUUUGUCCAGAUAUAUGCCCAAGAGUGGGAUUGCUGUGUCAUAUGGUAGUUUUAUGUUUAGUUUUCUGAGGUACCACCAUACUGUUUUCCAUAGUAGUUGUACCAAUUUACAUUCCCACCAACAGUAAAGGAGGCACCCUUUUUUCCACACUCUCUCCAGCAUUUGUUAUUUGUUGAUUUGUUAGUGAUGGCCAUUCUGACAGGUGUGAGGUGGUACCUCAUAGUUUUUUGAUUUGCACUUCUCUAAUAAUCAGUGAUGUUGAGCAUUUUUUCAUGUGCCUCUUGGCCAUCUGUAUAUCUUCUUUGGAGAAAUGUCUUUUCAGUUCUUUUGCUCAUUUUUCAAUUGAGUCGUUGUUGGAUAAUGUCUAUAAAUGUCAAUUAGAUUCAGUUGGUUUAUGAUGCUGUUUAGCUCUUCUAAAUCCUUGCCAAUUAGUUUUCCGCUAUUGUUUACUGAGAGAGGAAUGUUGAGAUUUGCAAAUGCUAUUGUGGGUUUGUCUGUUUCUCCUUUCAGAUCUGUCAGUUUUUUGUAUAUUUUGAAUCUCUUUUGUUGGGUACAUACACAUUUAAAAUUGUUAUGCCUUCUUGCUUAAUUGAUAUUUUUAUCAGUAUAUAGGUUGCUCUUCAUUCCUGUUGAUUUUUUUUUUACUCUGAGGUCUACUUUGAUAAUAUAACCAUUCCAGCAUUAUUUUGAUUGGUGGUUUCAUAUUAUAUGAAUAUCUUCCUAUAAUAAAAAAACCUUUUAAGCUAC
ensembl:lncRNA